rnacentral:rRNA from 1 species
AGAGCGAACGCUGGCGGCAGGCUUAACACAUGCAAGUCGAGCGGGCGUAGCAAUACGUCAGCGGCAGACGGGUGAGUAACGCGUGGGAACAUACCUUUUGGUUCGGAACAACACAGGGAAACUUGUGCUAAUACCGGAUAAGCCCUUACGGGGAAAGAUUUAUCGCCGAAAAGAUUGGCCCGCGUCUGAUUAGCUAGUUGGUGAGGUAACGGCUCACCAAGGCGACGAUCAGUAGCUGGUCUGAGAGGAUGAUCAGCCACAUUGGGACUGAGACACGGCCCAAACUCCUACGGGAGGCAGCAGUGGGAAUAUUGGACAAUGGGCGCAAGCCUGAUCCAGCCAUGCCGCGUGGAUGAUGAAGGCCUUAGGGUUGUAAAGUCCUUUUAACGGGGAAGAUAAUGACGGUACCCGUAGAAUAAGCCCGGCUAACUUCGUGCCAGCAGCCGC